CCUACGGGUGGCUGCAGUGGGGAAUAUUGGACAAUGGGGGGAACCCUGAUCCAGCCAUGCCGCGUGUGUGAAGAAGGCCCUCGGGUUGUAAAGCACUUUCAGUGAGGAAGAACGCCUGGUGGUUAAUACCCAUCAGGAAAGACAUCACUCACAGAAGAAGCACCGGCUAACUCCGUGCCAGCAGCCGCGGUAAUACGGAGGGUGCGAGCGUUAAUCGGAAUUACUGGGCGUAAAGCGCGCGUAGGUGGCUUGAUAAGUCGGUUGUGAAAGCCCCGGGCUCAACCUGGGAACGGCAUCCGGAACUGUCAAGCUAGAGUGCAGGAGAGGAAGGUAGAAUUCCCGGUGUAGCGGUGAAAUGCGUAGAGAUCGGGAGGAAUACCAGUGGCGAAGGCGGCCUUCUGGACUGACACUGACACUGAGGUGCGAAAGCGUGGGUAGCAAACAGGAUUAGAUACCCUUGUAGUC
rnacentral:rRNA from 1 species